GCAGAGAGAGAAGAGGAAGCAGACUCCCGGCUGAGUGGGGGCCCGGCGCGGGGCUCCGUCCCACGACCCUGCGUUCACGCC